UACGUAGGGUGCGAGCGUUAAUCGGAAUUACUGGGCGUAAAGGGCGCGUAGGCGGUUAUAUUAGUGUGAUGUGAAAGCCCCGGGCUUAACCUGGGAAGUGCAUCGCAAACGAUAUAACUGGAGUAUAUGAGAGGGUGGCGGAAUUUCCGGUGUAGCGGUGAAAUGCGUAGAGAUCGGAAGGAACGUCGAUGGCGAAGGCAGCCACCUGGCAUAAUACUGACGCUGAGGCGCGAAAGCGUGGGGAGCGAACAGG
rnacentral:rRNA from 1 species